rnacentral:lncRNA from 1 species
GAGCGCGAGGGAGACGCCGGGGCCACCCACCCGCAGCACGCAGAGCUUCUGGGAGCCGGUGGCAAGGCCGAAAUGGGAUGCAAACCAAAUGCACGUGGGUGACUGGCAGAAAAAGCCUCCCACAAAUGGGAGGGAUUUCGGAAGGAACCGAAAGAAAGUUGACACUCAGGGACCAGAGUCUCCACCAUCUUAUAGAGGCACUUCCUUGAACAUGUGGUCCUCUCAGUGCCUGCAGCAGAAAAGAGCACUGGAGAGUGCCUGUCCUUGGAAUUAGUUCUUCUUCCCUAAUUAGAGUACCUCCUAACACGGUGCCUUCACCCUUCAGCCCAAUAAGUGUUCACAAAACUGACCAGACCAUGGAAAUUCCUUCUCCUUGGGCAACUGAAGAAAAGGAUAAAGAGAAAGAAAGAAGGCUUGAAUGUUUUCCUUUCAAGGCAAUAUAUUACUUACUUAAUAUUAGAAUUAACUAAUUAAAAAACCUCUUAGCUUCUCCUAUGGGCAAACAUUCUUCGAAGUUACCAUAUCAGGACUGGAGGCAAAUAAUAAAUAUCUAAUGGUAUAACAGGCCACAGUUUUUACUAUCCUAGUGAAAUCUGCAUACUUUCAAAAUUAAAUCUGCUUGAUUCCACCCACUAGAGUUUGCAGGUAACAACAAUGACAUAAUGAUGAUGUCGACAGCAGUGGGUCUUGCUGAUUCAGUGCUUACUAUUACCUGUCACAAUACUAACUGCAAUGUACUGCUCAUUUCUCACAACAAACCAGAGGAUGGGAUGUUAUUCCUCUCCAUUUUGUAGAUAAGCUGACUGGGGUUCAGAGAGGUAAAGCGGCUUACCUAAAGACACACAGCAAGUGACAGGC